CUGUUCGUCGUUUUUAAUGCUCUUUAUAUCAACACUGGCUGAUCUGUCUACAAAAUGGCACCUAAACCCAACUGACCCCUAUAGCUAACUAGCUUCCAUGUACACUCAAAAUACUUGAGGUGAUUCCUUUUGGGGGCCUGAACUAACACGCAAUGAAGCUCUUGGUGCUGUUUCUGGUUGUGAUGAUGGUGAGUUCUAGUUGCAUGGCGGGGACAAGGAGAGCCAUGAUCGGUGGAAUAUACGGGCAAGAGCAACGACAUCGUGCCGGGAAAGGAAAAGCCGUUGAAGGAAGGAGGAACACAGUCGAGGACACGGACAAGAACAUAGACAACCACCACAACAUUCCUCGACAAGAGUACGGUAAUUGGGGGAGCAAUUCUCCGGACAAUGGUGGUAACGGUGAUGAUGGAAGUGGAUAAAAAGAGUAGUGUUUUAAUUCAAGUGCUAUGCAUGAUGUGAAUAUCGUAUUUACUCUGAUAUCUAUAUAUAUGCUAUAGUAUCUGUGCCAUACGAACUUGUGUUGUUCAUAACAUUGUAGGGUACCAUACCAGGAAGGGAGUUGGCUGUAGUUUGUCUCGCAGCAUAAGCUUGUAUGGUUUUCUUCUUUUAACUUGUGUUCGUGAAUUAAUACGUGUGUUCUUCUUUGUGGUAUUUCGCUUUUCUGUUCAAGUUAAGAAGUGAUUCUUAUAGAAAUUUCUUGAUGCGGAGAUGGAGCAAAUCAGCGUAGGAACCUGAUCAAACGCAAGGACAAGUAUAGCUUUGUGUUUGUUUGCUUUCUGUUUUCAAACCUUUCAUUAAUUUUAAUCCUCUGAAACAAGACCCAGCCACCAAAUCCAGUUCUCCCGCAUCUGACUUGUCCAGUUGCAUGCUGAAACUUAAAGCCUGGGCGUAACACAAUGGAAGAACAUAACUUGUAAAUUUGUUUGGACCAACCCCGAGAGGCCGAGACUCUCUGAAGCCUUGUCCCACAGGCUGAGGUAUGGGAACAUGGGAGUUGGGGCAGCCACAACAUUUUUUUACCUCUACAAAUCCUAGAAAUGGCAACGUCACAGCCCCACAGGGAGGGGGUCAAUGGAACCUAUAGAGUUGUCCCCGGAAAUACUACAAUAUGGAAGUGGACACGGGGGUGACACUUAAAGCAGUCAAUGCAAGUUAAAGGCAAGGGCAUGGAUGGAAGGAAAACUUACUCUUUAAACAUCAGUUAGCCAAUAUUCCUGGCUAUUAAAAUUGUAAAAUUUGGAUUUUACUUGUGCAACAUUUACCAGAUAUUUCCUAAUGAUCUGAGAACAUUUAUAUGUGCAGAUCACAGUCGGUGUUAAGGGGGCUGUAGGGAUAACACAGCUUCUUUACAACUGAACCUGAAUUACAGUUUGCUUUAACGGCAAAUACACAAAUGCUUCAACUACACUUCUUCCUACGUAAAUUUCUAGCAUGAGGGUAAACUGGAGCUCCUUUAGUUGUUGUCGGGUGCUUGGAGGAAGGGGCAUCAACAGGUGAAAUUUUUGGGCUGCGAACCCUUGGAUAUGGAUGAAUGGUGGCCAGUUCACGGAUUCGGCGCACCACAGGCUUUGGUAGGGGACGUACAGCAUGCUUCAAAUCAUUCUCAACCUGCAACAAACAUUUUAAAUUAUGAUUAUACCAUAAGAGACACUAUAAACCAUCACUCUUAAUGAACAUACUCUGAUCAUUACUGCUUUUGAUAUGCAGAAGACCACGAGUAAAUACUUGCCCUGCUGAUAUAUAUUUAAACAGUCAACCCUGCAUCCCACAUCAUUUCAUAUUUUAUCAGGAGGGGGAGUUUCAAACAUGUAGCUCUUGAUGCAUUAUAGCUGGGGUAAUGUUUACUAGAAACGACAAUUCUGCAUCCUUAAGGAUCCAGGCUCAGCAGCAAGCUCUUAGGCCACUUGAUGAUAAAAAUACAAAGACUCCAAGCAUUUGCAGUUCCAAUUCUGAUCUCUAAGUAAUCUUAAAGAAAUAGUUGUAAUUAAAAGAAUAAAAAUUAAACAAGUAGAAUGAGCUAGAGAUACAAGCAAUUGAAGUGAUUGAUACCAUCCUAUUCAGGUGGAAGCAAACGAAAGUGCAAAUAGAGAAGGAAAACAACAGAAGGCUAACCUCUCUCCUGUUGUGUUUAAGUGCAGAGCUAGAUCUCAGAAGAUUUCGC
rnacentral:lncRNA from 1 species